CGGAGGUCCCGAGCGUUGUUCGGAUUCACUGGGCGUAAAGGGUGCGUAGGUGGCUUUGCAAGUCUGAUGUGAAAUCUCCGGGCUUAACCCGGAAAUGGCAUUAGAAACUGUGAGGCUUGAGGCUUGGAGGGGAACUGGAAUUCUCGGUGUAGCAGUGAAAUGCGUAGAGAUCGAGAGGAACACCAGUGGCGAAGGCGAGUUCCUGGACAAGUCCUGACACUGAGGCACGAAAGCCGGGGGAGCAAACAGGAUUAGAUACCCUGGUAGUCCCGGCUGUAAACGGUGCACGUUUGCUGUGAGCGGAAUCGACCCCGUUCGUGGCGAAGCUAACGCGUUAAACGUGCCGCCUGGGGAGUACGGUCGCAAGAUUA
rnacentral:rRNA from 1 species